CCUACGGGUUGCAGCAGUGGGGAAUAUUGCACAAUGGGGGAAACCCUGAUGCAGCGACGCCGCGUGAGUGAAGCAGUAAUUCGUUACGUAAAGCUCUAUCAGCAGGGAAGAAAAAGACGGUUCCUGGGUAAGAAGACCCGGCUAACUACGUGCCAGCAACCGCGGUAAUACGUAGGGGGCAAGCGUUUUACGGAUUUACUGGGUGUAAAGGGGGCGUAGACGGUGCUCCAAGGGUGGAGUGAAAUGCCGCAGCUUAACUGCGGGACUGCUUUGGAGACUGGCGAAAUAGAGUGCGGGAGGGGUAAGUGGAAUUCCUAGUGUAGCGGUGAAAUGCGUAGAUAUUAGGAGGAACACCGGUGGCGAAGGCGGCUUACUGGACCGUAACUGACGUUGAGGCUCGAAAGCGUGGGGAGCAAACAGGAUUAGAUACCCCAGUAGUC
rnacentral:rRNA from 1 species